rnacentral:rRNA from 1 species
CCUACGGGGGGCUGCAGUAGGGAAUCUUCCGCAAUGGACGAAAGUCUGACGGAGCAACGCCGCGUGAGUGAAGAAGGUUUUCGGAUCGUAAAACUCUGUUGUAAGGGAAGAACAAGUACGUUAGUAACUGAACGUACCUUGACGGUACCUUACCAGAAAGCCACGGCUAACUACGUGCCAGCAGCCGCGGUAAUACUAAUGUGGCAAGAGUUAUCCGGAAUUAUUGGGCGUAAAGCGCGCGUAGGCGGUGUCUGAAGUCAGGUGUGAAAGCCCCCGGCUCAAGCGGGGAGGGUCAUUGGAAACUGGGGGGCUUGAGUGCAGAAGAGGAUGGUGGAAUUCCCUGUGUAGCGGUGAAAUGCGCAGAGAUAGGGAGGAACACCGGUGGCGAAGGCGGCUCUCUGGUCUGUAACUGACGCUGAGGUGCGAAAGCGUGGGGAGCAAACAGGAUUAGAUACCCCUGUAGUC